rnacentral:rRNA from 2 species
GCCCUAGUAACGGCGAGUGAAGCGGCAACAGCUCAAAUUUGAAAUCUGGCCCUCGGGUCCGAGUUKUUGUAGAGGAUGCUUUUGGCGCGGUGCCUUCCGAGUUCCCUGGAACGGGACGCCUUAGAGGGUGAGAGCCCCGUACGGUUGGACACCAAGCCUCUGUAAAGCUCCUUCGACGAGUCGAGUAGUUUGGGAAUGCUGCUCUAAAUGGGAGGUAAAUUUCUUCUAAAGCUAAAUAUUGGCCAGAGACCGAUAGCGCACAAGUAGAGUGAUCGAAAGAUGAAAAGCACUUUGAAAAGAGGGUUAAAUAGCACGUGAAAUUGUUGAAAGGGAAGCGUUUGCGACCAGACCUUUUCCCAGCGGAUCAUCCGGUGUUCUCACCGGUGCACUUCGCUGGGUUUAGGCCAGCAUCGGUUUCCGUAGGGGGAUAAAAGCCCUGGGAACGUAGCUCCCUCGGGAGUGUUAUAGCCCUCUGCAUAAUACCCUUACGGGGACCGAGGACCGCGCUUCGGCAAGGAUGCUGGCGUAAUGGUCGUCAACGAC